rnacentral:rRNA from 1 species
AUACAGAGGGUGCGAGCGUUAAUCGGAAUUACUGGGCGUAAAGCGCGCGUAGGCGGUCUAUUAAGUCAGAUGUGAAAUCCCAGGGCUCAACCUUGGAACUGCAUCUGAUACUGGUAGACUAGAGUUUUGGAGAGGGAAGUAGAAUUUCAGGUGUAGCGGUGAAAUGCAUAGAUAUCUGAAGGAAUACCAGUGGCGAAGGCGGCUUCCUGGCCUAAAACUGACGCUGAGGUGCGAAAGCGUGGGUAGCAAACGGGAUUAGAUACCCCGGUAGUCC